AUGAUUAUCAUUUCGAGACAGCUGCAUUCAGAGUCCACGGACACAUUCCCUCCACCUUGCUCCUAUUUUUGGCAUUCAUCAGCUGUUCCUGAUCGCUCACUGACCAAAGGACGGUUGGCACCGGGCCACCAAGCGGCCCCUUCUCCUAACUGCCAGGACACCCUGCUCAUUCAUUCACCCUCCCCCAUCGGGGCCUUCCAGUCACUGCUUCCGAUGUUCCUUCCAUCUGACCCUGCCCUCGCAGGUCUGGUGAGGCAUCAGGACCCCCAUCUUUGGCUCUCCCUGACUUUGGUGUUCCCUCCAGCUCUGACACACUUUCCCCAGCCCUCGUGGCAGGGACCUAGGAGAGGGGUGGGGUCCAGACACGGCUCUCGAGCAGGUCUUCUCACUCUGCUCUCCCAAACAAUCUGCUCUUAGCUUCUGCUCACUGCAUCUACAAGAUCCUCUUUUUUUUUUUUUAAAUGCAAGUUAGACAUGGGGUUGGUUGAGGGUCAGACAGGUGGAGAGGAGGAUUAAGUCUCAGGCUGGAAAGCUCUAAGGAUACUAGCUCCUGGGCACCCAGGGUGCAAACUUGCCAUGUGGCGGCACGGAGGGGCCAAGCCACGUUGCUGCUUGUCACUUAAGGCAGGAAGCGCGCAAAGGGAAGUUAUGAAGCCGUAGGCCCUCAACCGUAUUUACAACAGGAGAGCCCCCUCUCCCCCUGUGGUUCUCAACCUUCAUUAGGCACACGUGAUCUAGUGAUGGUUACAACCCACUCUUUAAAGGCAAGGAUGUAAGACUCACAGGGAAAAGCUUCGGCUUUUGUAAAAUUCACUAUCGAAGAGACAUCAAGGUGGGUUAGAAAAAUAACAAAAACUUGUAGUGUUUUUUGCAUGAGACCCACUGCAAAGUUACAAGGUGGCAACCAACCAACGAGGUUACAAAAGGCCAAUCCACAUACAGUAAAGGCUUACACAGCACGAGGUUUCAGAAGUGUCGGUGUAGACGAGGCGCUGAAAAGGGAGCAGAGAGGACUUCCCUUCACACAGCGAAGCGGGCAAGACGCUCUGACUUUCACGCCUACACCGUGAGGGGGUUAUGCAGAGUAAGGAACCACACAGUCAGUUAGUCAAAAAGAUACGGAUAAGGUUCAAACAGCGCACAAUAAAUCUUUCUAAAGCUCUAAGAUGCUUACAAAUAUAUUGUAAUUUGUUGCUCUCUUCCUCCUCCAAAAAAAAGAAAAAAGCAAAACCAGAGUACCAGGUGAGGUGUGUCUGCAGGUAAACGACCAGUGUCUGUCACACUCGGUCCAGUUCACUGUGCUGGGCUGUCCUGUGUACACCUCGGGAGGCNNNNNNNNNNNNNNNNNNNNNNNNNNNNNNNNNNNNNNNNNNNNNNNNNNNNNNNNNNNNNNNNNNNNNNNNNNNNNNNNNNNNNNNNNNNNNNNNNNNUGGGCUGUCCUGUGUACACCUCGGGAGGCAGUGCGCCGAGGUCCCGGGCUGUCACAGACGGGCGCUCUCUGCAGCCGCGAAGGCCCCGGCGGAGAGUGGCCGAGUGCCCUGCUGUCCCGCAGUACCUGCUGUGCUGGACACGGGAGCUGCAGGCGUCUGCACCUUGGGGCCGAGCGUCUGAAUCCAGGCCGGUGGGUCAGGUUGUGCGUGGGUGAGGGGGGCCGGGUCCCAGUGGAGGCCCCGGUCCCAGUGGAGGCCCCGGCCCGCCGAGCCUCAGCUGGCGUGGGGCUGUGUCCGGGUGUCUGAAGUCCAGGUCGGGUGGGUGCAGUCCGGGCGGUCGCGGUGGGUCCGGUGAGUGUGGGUGAGGAGGGUUGGGUCCCAGGGGGGGCCCUGGGCCUCAGCCGGUGUGGCUGUUCUGGUGCCUGGCCAGGGACAGGAGGUCGCUGAAGAGCUGCCCGCACACGUCGCACUUGAAGAGCUCGGCGUCGGGCUGGCCGCCCUCGGGGUCGCCGGCGCCCUCGCCGUAGAGGCCGGCGGGCUCCAGGAUGACGAGGCUGGCGUGCGCCGUCAGGUGCUCGGCGUAGGCGGCGCCCGAGGGGAAGGUCUCGC
rnacentral:lncRNA from 1 species